AUUGAACGCUGGCGGCAGGCCUAACACAUGCAAGUCGAGCGGAGCGGCGGACGGGUGAGGAAUGCCUCGGAAUCUGCCUGGUAGUGGGGGAUAACGUCCGGUAACGGGAGCUGAUACCGAAUACUAUCAGAUGAGCCUAUGGCGGAUUAGCUAGUUGGUGGAGUAGAGGCCUACCAAGGCGACGACCAGUAACUGGUCUGAGAGGAUGAUCAGUCACACUGGAACUGAGACACGGUCCAGACUCCUCCGUGAGGCAGCAGUGGGGAAUAUUGGACAAUGGGCGAAAGCCUGAUCCAGCCAUGCCGCGUGUGUGAAGAAGGUCUUCGGAUUGUAAAGCACUUUAAGUUGGGAGGCGUUACCCACAGAAUAAGCACCGGCUAACUUCGUGCCAGCAGCCGCGGUAAUAC
rnacentral:rRNA from 1 species